GCGAAAUGUGUGACUCUGAUAGGAAAAGUAAACAAUUAUGAAUUCUUCAUGCAAUUUCUUUUUUUCUUUAAGUUUAUGUAUUUAUUCUGAGAGAGAGAGAGAGUGAGUGAGGGUCAGAGAGAGAGGGAGAGAGAGAGAGAGAAUCCAGUGGGCUCUGCACUGACAGUGAAGGUCUCGACGCGGGGCUCAAAGUCACGAACCAUGAGAUUAUGACCUGAGCCGGAAUCAAGAGUCUGACGCUCAACUGACUCAGCCUCCAGGGCGCCUCUCUUCAUGCAACUUUUUGAACUUUUGUUUUGUGGGAGGAAACAGUAAGACUUUUCAAAACUGGGCUUCUCAACGCAGCUCAAGUUGGUUUCAAAGAGCACAUUUGUGAGGGUGUCUGGCAAGAUCAGCAAGGAGAUCAGCAAUGCUGAGCAGAGGGACAAUCCUGGAGUUUAGAGUACACCAAGCAUUGUGUAAAGAGGUUCUUCGCUUCUAAUUAAAUAAAAUUACAUGUGUGCAUUUUGUCACUUAA